UCCUACGGGAGGCAGCAGUGGGGAAUAUUGCACAAUGGGGGAAACCCUGAUGCAGCGACGCCGCGUGAGUGAAGAAGUAUCUCGGUACGUAAAGCUCUAUCAGCAGGGAAGAAAAAAAGUCUUUGGCUUUGGACGGUACCUGACUAAGAAGCCCCGGCUAACUACGUGCCAGCAGCCGCGGUAAUACGUAGGGGGCAAGCGUUAUCCGGAUUUACUGGGUGUAAAGGGAGCGUAGACGGCAGAGCAAGUCUGAAGUGAAAGCCCGCGGCCCAACUGCGGGACUGCUUUGGAAACUGCCCGGCUAG
rnacentral:rRNA from 1 species